rnacentral:lncRNA from 1 species
ACGGUAAUCUUAACUUCAUCUCCAAAAUACUAUGAGAGAAUGUAAUACUAGUCAUGGGUCUAAUAAUGAACUAAUACUCAUGACACUAAUAAAAUGAAUAUGGAGCGACUCUAGGAGUUCAAAAGGAGAUAACAAAGAUAAAUAACUAAACUUUUUGCCGACACGAACAAAUGUGGGGCUCACCAGGAAGUAUCAACUCAUG